GAGCUGUGGAAUUGGAAGACGGCAUCUUCGGAUGCAUGACCUUUCCCGUGCUUUUUAGAACAUAGAUGGCACCAGUCAGGUGACCAUCGAACGCAAUACGUCGAGUAUGGCGAUUUGGUUGUCCUUCGAGCGCUAAGCGAGAAGGGCGGAUAGCCAGAUCCCGCUCAGAUAUGGCGAGACCCGCCGUCCACGUUUCUCUUUCUCACAAGGAUACGAACCACGCCGCAUCAUGUUGCGUGCUUAACGAAUGGGCCCGUAGCUCAGGUGGUUAGAGCGCACGCCUGAUAAGCGUGAGGUCGGCAGUUCGAGUCUGCCCGGGCCCACCAUUCGCUAACGCUCAUGGUGACCCCGGCCAGUCUCUCUAGUUUGUUUGUCCUCGCGAUCUUCGAUCGCUGCGGGCAAACGGGCCGGGCCCUUCGGAGCGAUCCGGAGCGCAUCGAAGAUGGGGCUGUAGCUCAGCUGGGAGAGCACCUGCUUUGCAAGCAGGGGGUCAGCGGUUCGAUCCCGCUCAGCUCCACCAUUUUUGGAACUGGGGCGCCGGACGACCGGCGACGGCCUUUGGCCUUGCGAAGCCUUGCUUCGUUUGAGUGCCAAAGCGUGGGUUGGAUAUCCUUGGAGAAAAAAUAGGUUUGCAUCGUCUCCAUCGUGAGACGAAUGCCUGUUCUGCUUACAUUGUGAAGAGAAGAUAUGUCUGGAAGCUUCCAGGUGUUGAUGGUGAUCGAAAGGUUGCCUGAGACGUCCGAGCCCAGUCCCGAAGAAGCCAUGGAUGGUCUAGCCGACCGGAAAUGGAAGAGGGUCUGGAGGUAGGAGGGAAGUCUUGUCCUUGAGGCAUGAUCGUUGUUGGGGUGUUCUUCGGAACGCGCCUCUGAUGGUCGUGUCGGAUUGGUGUUGCCUGACCGCGCAUCACCGGACAGAUCUCGAGAAGCUGGUCUUAAGAUAUGGCCUCGAAGUCGCUCGGCGUGACUUUUGUGAGGACCAUAUCGAACACGUCGAUGGCAUUGUUGGAAAGCGCGAUUGUAAAAGGUAAUCGCGCAUAGCUGGUCUGGCGACUGCAAGGUCUCCGGAUUUUGGCUGCUGCGGCAUACGAAAGUUGCCCGGAUGGCCAGAUUUGGCACCCCUUCGAGCGCAAGCGAGGAGGAUAGGUUUGCCAAAUCCAGCAAAGACGAUGAGCAUUGGCAAUGAGAACGAUCAAGUGAAAGAAGGGCAUUUGGUGGAUGCCUUGGCAUGCACAGGCGAUGAAGGACGUGAUACGCUGCGAAAAGCCGUGGGGAGCUGCGAAUGAGCUU
rnacentral:misc_RNA from 1 species